rfam:Trichinella nelsoni scaffold73s, whole genome shotgun sequence.
CCAACGGUCCUUUUCAGGGCCACAUUUUGUUGAAAUUGUUUUUUA